UAACCCUUGCAUAAAGCAAUGCUGAACGCACAGAAGUCAGCAGAGGUCAUAGUAGGAGUCAAGGC
rfam:Clostridium sp. SY8519 DNA, complete genome.